rnacentral:rRNA from 1 species
UACGGGGGGGGCAAGCGUUGUUCGGAAUUACUGGGCGUAAAGGGCGCGUAGGCGGUCAGACCAAGUCGAAUGUUAAAUUCCAGGGCUUAACUUUGGACGGUCGUUCGAUACUGGUCGGCUAGAGUGUGGAAGAGGAUGCUGGAAUUCCCGGUGUAGCGGUGAAAUGCGUAGAUAUCUGGAGGAACACCGGUGGCGAAGGCGGCAUCCUGGACCAAUAUUGACGCUGAGGAGCGGAAGCCAGGGGAGCAAACGGG